rnacentral:rRNA from 1 species
GAUGAACGCUGGCGGCGUGCCUAAUACAUGCAAGUCGAGCGAACAGACGAGGAGCUUGCUCCUCUGACGUUAGCGGCGGACGGGUGAGUAACACGUGGAUAACCUACCUAUAAGACUGGGAUAACUUCGGGAAACCGGAGCUAAUACCGGAUAAUAUAUUGAACCGCAUGGUUCAAUAGUGAAAGACGGUUUUGCUGUCACUUAUAGAUGGAUCCGCGCCGCAUUAGCUAGUUGGUAAGGUAACGGCUUACCAAGGCAACGAUGCGUAGCCGACCUGAGAGGGGGAUCGGCCACACUGGAACGGGAACACGGUCCAGACUCCUACGGGAGGCAGCAGUAGGGAAUCUUCCGCAAUGGGCGAAAGCCUGACGGAGCAACGCCGCGUGAGUGAUGAAGGUCUUCGGAUCGUAAAACUCUGUUAUUAGGGAAGAACAAAUGUGUAAGUAACUAUGCACGUCUUGACGGUACCUAAUCAGAAAGCCACGGCUAACUACGUG